rnacentral:rRNA from 1 species
GACGAACGCUGGCGGCGUGCUUAACACAUGCAAGUCGAACGAGGUCCAGCCGGUAGCAAUACCGGUGAAGACCUAGUGGCGAACGGGUGAGUAACACGUGAGCAACCUGCCCCGAAGACCGGGAUAACAGCCGGAAACGGCUGCUAAUACCGGAUGCCCCCACCGGGUCGCAUGGCCUGGUGAGGAAAUGGAUUCUGCUUCGGGAGGGGCUCGCGGCCUAUCAGCUUGUUGGUGGGGUAACGGCCUACCAAGGCGACGACGGGUAGCUGGUCUGAGA